UCAAACUGGUUUCUUGCUGUUAAUAAAAUGAUCAGUGCAAAAGCUCCAUGACCGGCUACUAUUUUAAGUGAAACACAGGAGGUUUUCAACCAUACCAUAAGCCAACAACUUCUACCAACUACAGCCUUACUUAGUGACAGAAUAAACUAUACAUUGCCAGACAUUAUAAUCACUAAAAAUAAACACUACAAUUGUGAUAGCAAAAAUAUCAACCAAUGUUAACACUCCUCCUUGACACUCUUGUUGGAAACACCAAGGCAUUUCCUUAUUGUUUCAAACCUUUCUUUAGAAAAACUUUUUGUUAGGAUGUCUACAAAUUGGACCUCAAAAUUGCAAUGCACCAGCUUCACUUCAAGGUUUUCCUGUGCUUCCCUAAUUGCAUAAUACCUUAUCUUGAUAUGUUUUGUCCUUCCAUGGAACACCGGGUUUUUAACCAUAGCCACAGCAGAUUGGUUGUCACAAUGGAUCACUGUUGCAUCAAAUUGCUUAUGGCUUAGAUCCUCUGAGACUUUCCUUAACCAGAUUGCAUGGUUUGUAGCCUCAGAAGUAGCCACAUACUCUGCUUCAUUGGGUUCCAGCAAACAAGACUUGAUCCUAGAUAGAAUACAUACCUUGAUGUGUUCUUCAUAUCAUCACAUGAUCUGGCUCAAUCACUGUCAGUGUAGCCUAUUAGAAUACAAUUUUCAGACCUUCUAAACCAGAUUCCAAGUUUUGUAUUUCCUUUGAUAUACCUUAGAACUCUCUUUGCAGCUUGAAAAUGUAGAUCAGUUGGCUUCUAUCUAAAUCUAGAAAGUAUGUUAGUAGCAAAUGUGAGGUCUGGUCUUGUGAUGGUUGAGUACAAAAGGCCUCCCACCAAAUUUCUAUACACUUUUUCAUCAGACUUCUUGCUACCAUCAUCUUUCAUUAGUUUUAGAUUUUG
rnacentral:lncRNA from 1 species